CUCUGAAGAGCUUCCUAAGCUCAUAACAAAGUGAUUCUGAAAAGCUCAACAUUUUGGUCGAAUGGAGAGAUUUGACAUUGCUUCUGCUCCAAAAGGAACAGAGUUGGCCCAGAAGCUAAAAAUCACCUGUUAUCUUGGAAGUAAUCCCUGGAGGAUCAAGUCCAAGGGGGAAAAGUGGACUGGUCACCCCAGCUGAGGUUAUCUAAAUUCCAUGGCUUACUCCAGACAGGAAGCCCCACAUCCUGCAGCCUCAUUCAUAAUCCAUAAUAGAUGAUGUUCUUGGAUCCCAAGUUGAGAAAAGAAGUUAACUCUGCACAUUUUGGCAAAGAUGCAGACCAGGGUUUGAUCUAAGCAGCUAUCACAUAAAAUAAAGUACAAAUGGAAAUGGCAAAAA
rnacentral:antisense_RNA from 1 species